GGGGGGGCCAGAGGGGGCCAUGGCCCCCCCUACAUCAUGCUGUGCCCCCCCUUGGGCCCCCCCAAAUGCCAGCAACUUGCUGGCCAUGGGAUUCCCUCGGACUGUAACAACCUGUUACAGCCCGAGGGAGGGAAUGCAGUGCUGAGCUGCUGGGGGCUGUCUGUGGCCGGAGGGAGCACUGAUUGGCUCCCCGGCACAGGCCCCGCCCCCAAACGAAGCUCCGCCUCCCGCCGAUAAGC